AGUGGACAAAUACUCGUACUACCAAACGACCACCAAUCGAGUGAUAACGGUCGUUAAUCGAUUUUUAGUAAUGGAGAGGCCAACUUUAUACAGUUAACUAUUUCUACGAUUAUCGUGUGUUUAACGGAAUUCGCGACUUCCGGUCGAUACGUCUGACAUCAGCGUAGUGCUUCGGGGUAAUUGUGCGACGUUUAGAAGCACUUGAAAUGCACUUUAUUGGAGUAACCUACAUGUGCCGCGACAGAAAAGUCCAUGCGAGAUGUCGACGUCUCAGGAUCCCCGAAGGAUUUCUGCUGAGGUGACCUGUGCACGACUGCGGAAGAAAUCAUCCAUCCGGAAUUAUCUUACCAGCAUGAUUGCCAGCUUUUGUCCCGAAAGAAUAAAACGAGUUUGACAAAAAGUUAUGCAUUAAUAAUUAUCAAGUAAACGAGCAAAUAAAUAUAUCGACUAUGGAAUUAAUCUAAUAAGGAUAUUGCUAUGAAUAAAUGAUAUUAUCACUGCAAAA